rnacentral:misc_RNA from 1 species
GAAAUGCGAUAAGUAAUGUGAAUUGCAGAAUUCAGUGAAUCAUCGAAUCUUUGAACGCACAUUGCGCCCCUUGGUAUUCCGAGGGGCAUGCCUGUUCGAGCGUCAUUAUACAAUCUCUCAAGCCUGGCUUGGUGUUGGGUCUUCGUCCCCUCGUCCCUGCUGCCCAAGUGGGUGUGGAGGACUUGGACGUACCUGAAAAUUAGUGGCGGUGCUCAUGAUGGUCUCAAGCGUAGCAGACUCUCUCUCGCUUUGGAUGGCCUGUCAUGUAGCUCACCAGCCUUGCAUGCAUCUUCAACUAAGGUUUGACCUCGGAUCAGGUAGGGAUACCCGCUGAACUUAA